CUUGGACUUUUCUCUGUGCUGGCCUGUUUCCAUUGACAGAUGCUGAUUGAUUUGGGGAGUUCCGUGCCCUAAUCCCCAUGAUGUGCAAGGGAUACCUAUACUAUCUUAUUUGAUCCUCAUGACAACAUGGGAGGUACAAGUUGGACCAUAGGAUGUGCAAGAUCCCUUCUAAACCAAGAUACUGUGGAUCACCCAGUUGGCAGGAUUAC
rnacentral:lncRNA from 1 species